rnacentral:rRNA from 1 species
GACGAACGCUGGCGGCGUGCUUAACACAUGCAAGUCGAACGGAAAGGCCCUGCUUUUGUGGGGUGCUCGAGUGGCGAACGGGUGAGUAACAUGUGAGUAACCUGCCCUUGACUUUGGGAUAACUUCAGGAAACUGGGGCUAAUUCUGGAUCGGCCUUCAUGUAGCAUGGGGGGGGUUGGAAAGUUUGGGCGGUUGGGGAUGGUCUCUCGGUUUAAAAGUUUGUUGGCGGGGAGGUGGUUUACCAAGGCUUUGCUGGGAGGCCGGCCUGCGAGGGUGACCGGCCAAAUAGGGACUGGAAUACGGCCCAUACUCCUACGGGGAGCAGCAGUGGGGAAUAUUGCACAAUGGGCGGAAGCCUGAUGCAGCAACGCCGCGUGCGGGAUAACGGCCUUCGGGUUGUAAACCGCUUUCGCCUGUGACGAAGCGUGAGUGACGGUAAUGGGUAAAGAAGCACCGGCUAAAUACGUG